rnacentral:rRNA from 1 species
CAGCAGCCGCGGGAAAACAGAGGGUGCGAGCGUUAAUCGGAUUUACUGGGCGUAAAGCGUGCGUAGGCGGCUUCUUAAGUCGGAUGUGAAAUCCCUGAGCUUAACUUAGGAAUUGCAUUCGAUACUGGGAAGCUAGAGUAUGGGAGAGGAUGGUAGAAUUCCAGGUGUAGCGGUGAAAUGCGUAGAGAUCUGGAGGAAUACCGAUGGCGAAGGCAGCCAUCUGGCCUAAUACUGACGCUGAGGUACGAAAGCAUGGGGAGCAAACAGGAUUAGAUACCCGGGUAGUCCCUGUCUCUUAUAA